rnacentral:rRNA from 1 species
UACGGGGGGGGGCAAGCGUUGUUCGGAAUUACUGGGCGUAAAGGGCGCGUAGGCGGUUUGCUAAGUUGGAUGUGAAAACUCUGGGCUUAACCCAGAGCCUGCAUCCAAAACUGGCAAACUUGAGUACUGGAGGGGAAAGCGGAAUUCCUGGUGUAGCGGUGAAAUGCGCAGAUAUCAGGAGGAACACCGGUGGCGAAGGCGGCGACCUGGGUGGAUACUGACGCUGAGGUGCGAAAGCGUGGGGAGCAAACAGG